UCAGCACAGAACCCGAUGUGGGGCUCGAACCCGCGAACCGCGAGACCACGACCCGAGCCGCAGCCGGACGCUUAACCAACUGAGCCACCCAGGCACCCCAACUGUGAGUGUGGUUGU